UACAGAGGGGGCAAGCGUUGUUCGGAAUUACUGGGCGUAAAGGGCGCGUAGGCGGCCGCCUAAGUCAGACGUGAAAUCCCUCGGCUCAACCGGGGAACUGCGUCUGAUACUGGGUGGCUUGAAUCCGGGAGAGGGAUGCGGAAUUCCCGGUGUAGUGGUGGAAUGCGUAGAUAUCGGGAGGAACACCAGUGGCGAAGGCGGUUGCCUGGAGCUUUGCUGACGCUGAUGCGCGAAAGCGUGGGGAGCGAUCAGG
rnacentral:rRNA from 1 species